AACUCAUAAUUUACUGUUCGUUAUUGUCCUAGUAAAAUAUGUGUGGCAACACAUUACGUAAAGCUACAGGAUUCUACUUAUGAUAUUACUAAAGACAUAUUCUGAGUCUGAGGAAGAGUCACAAGCCAGAUCCCCAGAGACAAAAGGUUAGCCAACAUCUCAGCCAAGUGUCAACAAAAUCUAAUGGACCACCACCUGGUAAAGUGGCCAUUCUUUGGCAGAAAAGAGGAUGUGGUCAAAAAUCUACAUCUUGACAAAAGAAACAGCUGGGGGUUCCUGUCCACACAGACUUUUGUCUCCUGAACCUCAGCUGAAAAUGAUUCUCGAAGAAGAGAAAGGACUAUAAGAAGAGAUAGAAGGCACCCCAAAAUAUUCCUCCCUUCUCUCUACCCAAGGUUUCCACAACACCUGAAGAACAAAGGAAAAAGCUUUGGACUGGGGGAAGGAUCCUGACUGAAAGAAUUCAGACGACUUACACCAGACCAGAAGUCACAUGGGAGGAUCUAAGCUGGGGACAAAACUCUACCCUCCUCCUCUCUGAACCAGCAGAAGCCUGGAAUAUUAUGGAGACUUUCUGUCUCCUGAACCCCAGCUGGAGAUGAUUCUCAAAGAAGAGGAAAAAGCAUACAAAUGGAGAACAGACACCCCAAGUUAUGUCUCCCUUCCUCUCUACUUACAGCAUCGACAACACUUGAAGGACAAAGGAAGCAUCAUUGGACUGAGGGAGAUAUCCUGUCUGAAAAGAAUUCAACCAGUAAUAUUGCUAGAACAUGUGAUGAGAAAGACUUUUGCUUUGAAUUCACUUUAGCUUGUAAAGUUAGGUGUUGUGUUUUACCUUUUAUUUCUUUGUAACCAGUUCUGACUUUUAUGC